rnacentral:rRNA from 1 species
CAUUAUACCGCGAACUGCGAAUGGCUCAUUAAAUCAGUUAUCGUUUAUUUGAUAGUACCUUACUACUUGGAUAACCGUGGUAAUUCCUAGAGCUAAUACAUGCUUAAAACCCCGACUCACGGAGGGGUGUAUUUAUUAGAUUAAAAACCAAUGCCCUUCGGGGCUUUUUGGUGAUUCAUAAUAACUUCUCGAAUCGCAUGGCCUUGUGCCGGCGAUGGUUCAUUCAAAUUUCUGCCCUAUCAACUUUCGAUGGCAGGGUCUUGGCCUGCCAUGGUUACAACGGGUAACGGAGGGUUAGGGCUCGACCCCGGAGAAGGAGCCUGAGAAACGGCUACUACAUCCAAGGAAGGCAGCAGGCGCGCAAAUUACCCAAUCCCGAUACGGGGAGGUAGUGACAAUAAAUACUGAUACAGGGCUCUUUUGGGUCUUGUAAUUGGAAUGAGUACAAUUUAAAUCCCUUAACGAGGAACAAUUGGAGGGCAAGUCUGGUGCCAGCAGCCGCGGUAAUUCCAGCUCCAAUAGCGUAUAUUAAAGUUGUUGCAGUUAAAAAGCUCGUAGUUGAACCUUGGGCCUGGCUGGCCGGUCCGCCUCACCGCGUGCACUGGUUCGGCCGGGCCUUUCCCUCUGGGGAAUCCCAUGCCCUUCACUGGGUGUGGCGAGGAACCAGGACUUUUACUGUGAAAAAAUUAGAGUGUUCAAAGCAGGCCUAUGCUCGAAUACAUUAGCAUGGAAUAAUAGAAUAGGACGUGUGGUUCUAUUUUGUUGGUUUCUAGGACCGCCGUAAUGAUUAAUAGGGACAGUCGGGGGCAUCAGUAUUCAAUUGUCAGAGGUGAAAUUCUUGGAUUUAUUGAAGACUAACUACUGCGAAAGCAUUUGCCAAGGAUGUUUUCAUUAAUCAGGAACGAAAGUUAGGGGAUCGAAGACGAUCAGAUACCGUCGUAGUCUUAAC